CAGGAGGCAGCUGAUCAAUGAUUCUCUCUCAUCAUUGAUGUUUCUAUCUCUCUCUCCCUCUCCCUUCCUUUCUGAAAUCAAUAAAAAUACAUUAAAAAUAUAUAUACCUAAACUUUACAAUUUGUAAAACACCUGCUUUUGUGGAGGUAAUGCAGGUAAAGGUACAAAGUGCAAACAGUUCAAAUAGGUAUAAAGUACCUGCCUCCACCGAUGGUCCGAAGUCAGUGAACUUCCUGAAAGUGAACCAGGGACUUGCGUAGCCUCCCAGAACCCGCAGGUGAACAAGACAUGAGUGUAUCCAUCCGCGUUAGGAAACAGCAGCAAACACAUUGUAUGCGGGAAACGUGUUUAUACGUUUUACGUAUUUAUACAUUCUACCAGUGUAGUAGAGCGCGGACACGUAUUAAUACGUUUUUUAUAGACUAGCGGUAGAAUGCGGGUAACGUAUAAAUACGUGAACUAAAGUUAUGUAAUUUUACUGAACGUUGCUAUUUGCGCAAAAAAUUAGCAAAAAUGGCCUGCGCCACCUGCUAGCGCGCGAUAAAAACUACCCACAAACAAUGUGUUAACACAACGUCCUGUCCCUUAGCCGAGUGGAGACUUCCCUUAUGUCCGAGCCGUUCUCAGCCUUCCCAUCAGGUGCACAGCAGACACACAGACACGGACUACCCUUUACCUGCCCGGGGCCCCGCCAGGCAGAGCGUGUUCCGACCUUUCGUCCCUGUGAACGACCUGCAGUGACCAUCCCCACAGGCACCUGCGCCUUUACGUACAGGAAGGCACAGACACACACAGCCAGACUGGGUUUCCAAGAGGUUCAGCCAAACGACAUCCCACCAGCACAAUGAGCUGCAGGCCUCGCCCACGCCAGGUUUUAUCCACGCGAACUUUUCUUCUGUGAUGGAGGCUGAACGAUCUCAGCUGUGAUGUUUCUCAACACAAGUACCAGAAAAUCCAACUCAAGGAGGCUACAAACCAGGAAGUUUGUACUGCGGACGGGCAUCGUGCGCCCUGCCCUCCCGACCACGCUGCCUCCCCACUGCGCUGUCCUUCCUGGGUGCUGGCUCAUCCCUGGCCUGACCGCAGAAGGAAUGCAGUAGCUCAUCCAUGCACAGCAUCAUCCAGUAGGGGUGACAGUCCUAGGGGACAAGGAAGGGCUUCUCCAGAAAUUCCCAGUAAAUUCCCCAAAUGUCAUGACCCCAAUCAGGUCACAUGUCAAUUCCUGAAGCAAUCACUGACACAUGGACAUCGUUCCUGAGCCGGGCAGAGGGCCAGGCUCUGUGACACGCCCACUGGAUGUGCAGGGGCGGGGGGAUGUCCUGAAUGAAACUGGGUUUUGUCUGGAGGAGGCUGCUGGGUAGGCGACCCUCCCAUGAUGUGACGGUGCCGUUGUGCCAGUGCCUAGGAGGGGCCGGGGGAGAUGAGGCCAUUCAUCACCGGGGUGUGAAUGGGCCCUGACUCCCCAAGAACUACCCGAAGGAAAACAUUUCUGGGGAAAAAACUUAUAUUUAUUGCUUUAAAUCUGAACUCAUGAUUACAGCUGUAAACAUGGUGUAUUAAUCAGAGUGUGACCUGAACAGAAAGGGCAAAGCGGUUAGGUAAUGGUAUCUGAAAUGAGAACAAUCUCAAUACUUCAUCGCCCAGAAAUGCUGGCUCACUGACUUCAUGGUGCCGCUCGAGCCAGUGCACACACUCACUCAGCUCCUCCUCUCCAGCUCAGCACCACGGACAGCCAGGCGCGGACUGACAGCCAGGCGCGGACUGACAGCCAGGCGCGGACUGCUGGCCAUAGGACCAGCCUGCUUUGAGGCACCGCACGCUUCCGUCCUCUGAGCCCUAUUUUCUGCCGCCUGCCCCCGGCAGCGGGCACAUGCCAUGCUUCCUGGUCACCCAAACCCCAAGACUUUCCCCGUGAAACACGCUGCCACUAACACUUCUCUCCGUGUCCUCAUCGUGAACUACCAUUUUGUAAGUUUCAAUCUAUCAUUCCAAAAUGCCAGUAUCUCGCCACUGUGUUAGCUACGCCUCCCGGUUUCACCAUCUGCAAGCUGCAAGCAUCCUGAUGCAAGCAGAGAUAAAACCUGGGCGACGAGCAGUUUACUGACGCCCCAGAGCACUCGGCUCCUCCUGUGCCCGGAGCAAUGGACAGGGGAGGUUUCCACCACCUCAGCCGAGUGUCUGUCUGCCGCGAACGGUGACAGGGAGGGGGAAGCUAUCAUUAAGAAUAGAUGUGACUCAUUAAUGAGAGGACAAAUACCCCAAUUUAAAAUUGGACAAAGCAUCUAAAUAGCGUUUCUCCAAAAAUGAUAGCAGAUGGUCAAUAAGCAUCUGAAGACAUGCUCACUAUCGUUCCUCAUCAGGGAUGCACAUCAAAACCAGUGAGGUACUAUUUCACACCCACCAGGAUGGCGAUGACCAGGAGGCACAUAGCUCUGGCUGGUGUGGCUCAGUUUGUUGGCGCGUCACCCCAUGGACCAACAGGUCACUGGUUCCAUUCCCAGGCAGGACACUUGCCCAGGUUUGGGGCUCCAUACCUGGGGGGGGGAGGGGGGUCCCAGUAGAGGUACAUGAGGGAGGUAACCUAUGGACGUUUUCCUCUCUCAUUGAUGUUUCUCUUUCUCUCUCUCAAAAUCAAUAAAAACUUUUUUUAAAAAAAUAAGUCAUAUAAGAACAAGUGUUGAAAAUUGGAACCUUACAAACUGCUGGUGGGAAAGAAAAGUGGUGCAGGUGCUGGGAAAACAGCCCGGCAGUUCUCAGCAGCAAUCCCACCCUCGGCACAUGCCCAGGAGAACUCCCAGUCAACUCCCUGAACGGCAUGGCCCAACGUCUACACAAAAACAUGUUUGUGAGUGUUCACCGCAGCAUUAUCUGCAACAGCCAAAAAAUGGGAACCAGCCAAUGUUGCUGCCUGAGGAAUGGAUCAGUAAAAUGAGGUAUAUCCAUACCAGGUAAUAGUACUCAGCCACGAAAAGGAAUGAAGUACUGACACCCGCUACAGCCGGGUGUGUGCCCUGAUGGGAACUGAACCUGCGCCUUCCCGUGUACAGGACCGCGCCCCCCGGCCACACAGGCGGCUUUCUUACCUCUCAUGCUGACGCACACGAUGGCCAGCAUGGUACACACGAUCACCGCCAGGAGGACCAGGAGCACGACCAUGUAAUUGCCGAGCAGCACCCCCCGAGCACAGUCCAGCUUCCCUCGGUACCGGAGAUACAAGGCCAGGAUGCCAAGCCACCUGUCGAGGAACAAGGAGGGUCAGAGGUCCAUCCAAGGAGCUGCUUUGCCGAACACGAUAGAAAGAAAUAAAGGAGUGGGUCGUUCCCGUAAACGGGGUGAGGUUCGCCCUGAAACACAACGUUCACCAAUAAACGAUCUACAAAGUCAACCAAGCCUAUGACUUUUUAAAAUGAGUUUUAUACUUCCCCUGCUUACACGACUUCUUUUUCUGUGCCGGCUGUAAGGCAUGACAGGCUUUUACAGCCGUAAGCAAGCAAAUAUCACGGCUCAGAAACACACAACUGGUAAACCAACACACUGCGUGCGUGCGAAAUUAUUAACAAGAGAAAUGUUACUUCUGUGGAUCAACAGGAAACGGAUACGCACACACUGUAAGCUCCUGUGUCUAAUACAAAAGGCUAAGCGGGAAGACAGCAAACCUGCAGAGGCGCUGGUGGUGAACACUGAUGAACGUGAAAGGAGAACACUGUGGACUCACCAAUGUUCUGCCAUUCAGGGCACCACAACGCAAGGUGGCACUGAGCGACUGCCACUGGGGCUAUCGCGGCAGAGGGCACCGCCCGCCGGGCAAGAACACGGUGUUAGGAUUCAAGCCCAAGGAUUCCAGUCCCAGUGGAAACGGACGGGUCACUUCCUAUGCUUGUCAGUUCUGUGAUAGGAUGACCCCGUGUCUAGAGAAAGUGGGAACUGAACUCCGAAAGGCUUAGCUUUGAAAACUAUAAAACUACGCAGUAGCAGGUCCCAACGUUUUGUGUUUUUCUUUCUUUCCCCUCGAGAAUCUACGUUUUUAAAAAAAUAACAACGGUAUUAUUAUUCCUUGCUCAGACCCUCUGAGAACAGCCCUCAGGGCUCCGAUCCACUUCCUCCCGAUCCCACGCAGGAAAGACAAGGGAGGCUCCGCCAAGCCUGUCUGCAGGCGGCGGAACGCGGCCACGGGGCUCAGGGAGGCGCUGAGCCGUGCAAUUGCGCAUCUCACGGGGCAGGUGCGCCUCGAGGUGCUGGGCGUGCCCGCGCGGCGUGCGGGGAGGAUGCAGGGUGCAGGCGGCCCCCUCGGAUCGAGGAAGCAGAUCCCCAGGCCAUGGCUUUCGGGAGGCGAGGGCGUCCCGGCGGCUCUCGGCCAGGGCUCGCGCCGCAGGGGCCGGGGGGCUGGGGGGCUGCAGGUGCCCCGCAGCGCCAGUACCCACCUGGCGCCCCGGCACGCCUACCUCCUCCGCCCGCAGUUUGGCGGCUGUAAAAUGGGGGGAAUAACAGCACCUCCCUCCGCGGGCGGUGGGGAGGACUAGACCAGGGAACGCACGGCACACCCUGGGCACCGGGGACCUGCCGACACGGACACGGCCUCUCCUCCCGGACGGCGCGCCAGCCCCGACCCCCGCCCGCCCUCUGCCUCCGCGGCGGAGCCCGGCGCCCUCACCACAGCACCCGCAGGAACAGCUCGAACAGCCCCGGGAAGAACAAGUCGUCGCUGGCGAUGGCCCAGCGCCGGCCGAAGAGCACCAUGCCGGCCAUGGCGAAGGUCGCGCCGCCCGGCCCCGGACAGCCCGCCGCGCCGGUCACCACUCUGUGCCCCACGCCCUCCCGGCUUCACAACUAAACUGACCACGACUCGGCGCAGGCGCACGGGAGCCAGGCCGGGCGCAUGCGCACGGGGAGGCCGAGCCGGGCGCGCGCGGCGGGGAACCUCUGCGCCUGCGCAGUGCGCUGAUCCGGAAGAUGCCGGCCGACUCCAGGGCAGGUGUGCUGGCGGGUGAAGUCCGUCCUGCUCAUACUUUCUAGCGACCCUGUCGCACCGUCGGACCGAGCCCAUCCUCCGCUUGGAUCCUGCAGGGCUUCGCUUUGUGUGUUAAAUGGGCGCCGACCCCCAGCCCGAGGCCUUUCCCUAGUAUCGCACAUCACACGUCUGUGAGUGUUUACCGUCUCCCCGAGGUGGGGUUACUCCUCUCUCCCGCCAUCACCCCACUACCUGCCUCCUGGUAUCCCUCCCUGAAACUCGUUCUCGCCCGAGGGCUUCUUACAUUCUCUGUCUCCUCUGCCUGGGAUGCUCCUCCCGCAGGCAUUUCCAUGUCACUUCAUUCAGGCUCCUGUCGCUGCCUCAGACAGCCCUCCCCGCCUCCCUCUCUCAACAGCACACCCAGGUCCCAUUCCCUCCCCACGCCUCGGCUUUCUUCAUAGCACUUUGCCACUCCCUGUCUUUCAUGUUUAUUCCCUCCCUCCUCCCACCCUCCAGUGUCUGUGGUAUGAGCAUGGGGCACCCUGUCCAUUGCUCUUCACAUAAUGGAACACAUUGAAUAUUCCAUAAAUGAAUAAACAGACUUAUUAAA